GACGAACGCUGGCGGCGUGCCUAAUACAUGCAAGUCGAACGCUUCUUUCCUCCCGAGUGCUUGCACUCAAUUGGAAAGAGGAGUGGCGGACGGGUGAGUAACACGUGGGUAACCUACCCAUCAGAGGGGGAUAACACUUGGAAACAGGUGCUAAUACCGCAUAACAGUUUAUGCCGCAUGGCAUAAGAGUGAAAGGCGCUUUCGGGUGUCGCUGAUGGAUGGACCCGCGGUGCAUUAGCUAGUUGGUGAGGUAACGGCUCACCAAGGCCACGAUGCAUAGCCGAACUGAGAGGGUGAUCGGCCACACUGGGACUGAGACACGGCCCAGACUCCUACGGGAGGCAGCAGUAGGGAAUCUUCGGCAAAGGACGAAAGUCUGACCGAGCAACGCCGCGUGAGUGAAGAAGGUUUUCGGAUCGUAAAACUCUGUUGUUAGAGAAGAACAAGGACGUUAGUAACUGAACGUCCCCUGACGGUAUCUAACCAGAAAGCCACGGCUAACUACGUG
rnacentral:rRNA from 1 species